rnacentral:rRNA from 1 species
CGUGUAGGCGGUUUCUUAAGUCGAAUGUGAAAGCCCCGGGCUCAACCCGGGAAGUGCAUUGGAUACUGGGAGACUUGAAUACGGGAGAGGGUAGUGGAAUUCCUAGUGUAGGAGUGAAAUCCGUAGAUAUUAGGAGGAACACCGGUGGCGAAGGCGGCUACCUGGACCGAUAUUGACGCUGAGACGCGAAAGCGUGGGGAGCAAACAGGAUUAGAUACCCUGGUAGUCCACGCCGUAAACGAUGAGAACUAGGUGUUGCGGGUAUUGACCCCUGCAGUGCCGCAGCUAACGCAUUAAGUUCUCCGCCUGGGAAGUACGGUCGCAAGACUAAA